rnacentral:rRNA from 1 species
AUGAUUAUCUUGGCCUGGAACUGUCGGGGACUGGGGUUGGACCCGACGGUUGGCGAGCUUAGAGACCUGGUACGGUCUUACAACCCAGCGGUGGUUUUCAUGAGUGAGACAAAGAAGAGGGCGACAACUAUGGAGAAAUUGAGGUGGAGUUUGGGUUAUAGUAAUGGUAUGGCAGUGGACUAUGUGGGGAGAAGCGGGGGGCUUGCUUUAUGGUGGAGAGACGAUGUUCAGGUGACGAUUCGGCCAUGGUGCCAAUACUAUGUUGAUGCCGUCAUAACACAUGAGGGUAGAUCCUAUAGAUUCACUAGAAUCUAUGGGGAACCCCGUACGGAGCUAAGGAACAAAACUUGGGAGGCCUUGCGGUAUCUGAGGAGACAAGACAAUCUACCAUGGCUUUGUGCAGGAGAUUUUAAUGAAAUACUUUUUCAAACAGAGUAG